UUGAUGUAAGAUCACCUUAAGGAUUAUGCAAAUAGAAAUUAACAUCAGCACGUGUAAAUUAGAUUAAAAUAUGCUCACAAGAUUUUAGGAAAUAGGUAGGUCUAACAAUGUGACUUAGACUUUUUCUUGUCUGAAAUACCUGACUGACAGUUUCUAGUUUUGAUUUCUCCUACCUCUGACCAGGUUCUGCAUGGAAGCUAUACAAGCUACAAACUUGAUCUCUGUCCUCUUGUAGCCGGAGCUGGUCAGUGAAAGCAGACGCUGUUGAGCACUUACUACUGAUAAGGCAAUGUACCUGGUAGACACUCUGGAGGGAGAAUAAGAGGAAACCAUAGAAGGACCUCCUGAGUAGGAGAGCUAAACCGUGUGUACAAGGAAUCACAUCUGUGUUUAUUGGGGUCUGCUAUGUGACAGGCAUGUUACUGCUUCCAACUUUAAAAAAGACCUCAGGGCAGAACUCCUGCUGCCAGAGAAAGGACCCUUCACUGAAAGAGCUGGAUGAGGCAUCAGCAAGAGGCUUUCAAUCCAGACAAGUAAGGAGGAAGGCAGUGGAUCAACCUCAUUCUUCAAACAAUACUUCCACUCAGGUGGCAGGACUCCGGGGGGAAGCUUCUUUGGACAGGGAGAAUCUCUUGGGUACAAGUGACAGCAACUCAACUCAAACUAACUGAAACCCAAAAGGGCCGGCGGGAGCAGCCGGAAAGACGCGGAGGCACGGGCCGCUGUUGGGUGGAGCGGCGGCCGCCUCCAGCAGCAGCGCGGGGACCCGCGGAGCUGUCACCUCCGUCCUCCACCUGCCGCGCGUCCGCGGGCAGUUCCUCCCCUCGGUGGCCCCGGGGCGCGGGUGCCGUCCCUCGGCCUCUGCCCUCAGGGUCAUACAGGCUCCUCCCGGCGACCGGGGACAGAGAUUCCGCCUGUGGCUGGGAACUGGAACUGCCCGAAGACGCUCCCGGGGACGCUGUAGGCAGCGCCCUGGCCGCAGGGAGAGGCCGAGUCUCGCCGAGCGAGGAAUCGCAGGGUCUGGCAGCCGCCGGGCUGCCGGCAGGGGGCGCUCCCGGUGCACACGAGGGGCUCCGCCGCCCGCACAGGGUGUAAAGCGGGGGCCCCGGGGCCCUGCGGGGGGUCUAGGGCUGUGCAGGGCCGCCGUGGCUCCUCACAAGGGCUCUGCUGGGCGCCGCGCAGAGUCCUGAGCGGCCUUGGGUCUCUGGUUCAGCGGCCCGGGGUCGCUGGCAGAAGCAGGGCCGUGCGCCGGGGCCCCGGCUGGCUUAGGCUGCCUUUGCCCUUCUGCCUGGAGGCCUGGCCGAGGCUGGCUCUCCCUCACAGUGAGGGAUUCCUGCCCGGAUCUGUGCUGCUGGAGAGGCUGGCGAUGGCAGCGGGGACAGCAGGGCCUUCCCCUCAGGCCGGCAGGGGCCUGGCGAGCGCAGGGGCUUUGCAGUCUCCAGGGCGUCAAGCAGGGCGUCCUUGGGAGCUGGGCAGCUCCUCCGAGCGGCCCUGGAGUAGCAGUUUGGGUGGGAAGGGCUUGCGGUUGGCGGAGACCGGGGGCGGGGAGGAAAGCUGCAGGGGGUGGGUUAGCUGAAAGCCCAGGUUUCAGGGAGUGCGAUGUCCUCGGGUCUCUUAAACCCAGGAGCAGGUGUGUGGCCGAUGCCUCAUCGCCUUCCGGCCUGUGAGUCCUAGAUCUCUCCUUCCACGUGUGACCAGCCCCCCCCCCCCGCCCCCCCGCACGCAGUCUGCCCAGGGUCCUUGUAGUCGCAGACUGGCUCCAGGACGGCCUUCGGGUCCUCGGGGUCAUGACCCACAGCAAUCCACGGAGCCUUCUCAGCAUCCUCAACCUGCCUCUCUUGCUGGGAUGGGAAUGCGCACUUCUCACGCAGAUUUCCACGUUCUGUGGGGGAGAAGGGAAUGGGAGAUAUUCUGCUUGGUACCGGGCCCCACAGCUCCUGGACCGUCUGUCCCUCAAAAGGCAGAGUGUGGACUCCCCCCUCCGGUUCUCUCCUGGGGGAGCUGGGGGCAGCCCAAUGGCACCGCCGCAGACAGUGUCGGGCUUGUUGGAAAAGGCGAAUUUGUCUUUGAAGCCAGUUUGCAAUCGUGAUGUUCCCGCCAGCUUCCAAUUGCAGGUUUUCUGCCUUCAAGUCCGGAUGGGCAGCACGCCUCUGCUGACGAUUUGCACAGAGGACACCGUCUGAUGGAACUUGCCUCAGCCUCUUCCCUUUCCUGCCGCCGGGAGCCACUAGGUACUCGGCGCCCCCCCUCUGCCAGCGCCCUUCCUCGUGAGGCCGGGAGCUUCCUCAGCCUCGGCUCCUCCAGCAUUUCCCUGUGUUGGGAUCAUCCUUCAGCGCCUUCAUGAUUCCUGCUUUGCGGGGAAGUCUGGAGGCAGGAGGAGCUCUGUGGCAUCUCAUCAGUGACCUUCAUGGCCACCACUUCCUGGGGCAGGAGGUGCUGGGCCAGCCUCCCCACAACUGAGCCAUGCUUGCCAGUGGCCUCCAGACCAUUGUCAGUACCAGUGAGUCUGUCCUCAGCAGAGGUGGUGAGAGCCCCGUAGUGUCCUGGCCUCGCGGCUGUGCUUGGAGUCAAGGUGACCUAAGGUCAGCUUACAUUUGGGAAAAGCUGAGGAGAGGUUUGGUCCAAAUCACCUCAAAAGAAAAUCAGUUCAAAGUUCACCUGAGGAACUGAUCUUUGUAAUGGAAUCAAAAUACAGUGCUAGACAAAAAGCAAAUAUCAACCAACUAAAAUAUAAUUGAAUGAAAAGCAAUAAAAAAUGAUAAAAGUAAAAAUGAAAGAAAAAUGAGAAAAAGAAAAAAGAAUAGGGGAAAAACAACCCAACAACCAAAAUAGACCAAAGUGCCAAGGAGGAAACAAGCUAACCUUGGUCAAAGUCCUUCAGGUCACUGAAAAGCAGCUUCCUGAGCUUGAAGGAAUGGCACCCUAGGCGCAGCCAGAGAUUCCUUUGGUUGUUGGAGUUCUAGAACAAUAGUACGAGGUCAUAGGAAUAAGUGGACCUAGUGUGGCAGAAGAUCAUCUACAGUGAUUUUCUCCCUUUUUUGAUCUCAAGAUCAUUUACUCUUUAAAAAAAAUUGAGAACCCAAAGAGCUUUUUGUUUAUGUAGGUUACAGAGAUCAAUAUUUACCAUACUAGAAAUUAAAACCUGCAGGAUGCCUCAGUGGGCUUUUCAUGUCUAGUUUGAAAAGCUGUAAUAAUUUUUGGCUUUUAAAGAGUUCAUAAUGUCUACACUUAAAAUAUUCAAUUUCUCUUUCUAUAAAACUCUGAACAAUUGAUUAAGAAUGAAACCACAACUUAACUGGCAUUGUGAUCCUCUGUAAGAAUGUUCUGUUGGAUAAGAUACAAAAAGUCUCCUUAUCAACAUUCAUGAUGCUAAGGGGAAGAGAC